GGUUUUGGCACAGUGGUAACACUCCUGUCUUGCAAGACAAAGGUUGUGGGUUCGAAUCCCACUCAAGUCG